CGGCUUGAAGCUCUCGGCGUCGUCCCAGUACUGCGGAUCCCUGCAUAUCGCCCAUGCAUUGACGAAGACGCGAGUGCCGGCUUCUAUCUUGUAGCCCAUCACUUCGCAGGUCUCCCUGCAUAAUCUUGGUAACAGCGAGACUGAUGGGUGAAGCCUUAGCGUCUCUUUGAUAAUUAGCUUCAUGUAGUUUAGCUUAUCCAUGUCACUCUCUUCGACCCUGUUCUUUCCUUUCAGAGCUUCCCUCACUUCCUUGUGCGCUCUCUCCAUGAUCCAGGGGUGCCUGAUCAGCUCCGACAUGGCCCAUUCAACGACGGUCGAUGAGGUCUCGGUGC
rnacentral:lncRNA from 1 species